rnacentral:rRNA from 1 species
CAAUGCCGGCAUCAUAGGCAUGCAGUCGACGCGAAAGAGGGGGCAACCCCUCGAGUAGAGUGGCGAACGGGUGAGUAACGCGUGAAGAACCUGCCUUCGAGCGGGGGAUAACACUCCCAACGGGGUGCUAAUACCGCAUGAGACCACGGGGUCGCAUGGCCCUGAGGUCAAAGGUGGCCUCUAUUUAUAAGCUACCGCUCGAAGAUGGCUUCGCGUCCCAUUAGCUAGUUGGCGGUGUAACGGACCACCAAGGCGACGAUGGGUAGCUGGUCUGAGAGGAUGGUCAGCCACACUGGGACUGAGAUACGGCCCAGACUCCUACGGGAGGCAGCAGUCGAGAGGCUUUGGCAAUGGGGGAAACCCUGACCAAGCGACGCCGCGUGGAGGAUGAAGGCCCUUGGGUUGUAAACUCCUUUUGUCGGGGAAGAAGUGCGAUCAGGUGAACAAUCUGGUCGUUUGACGGUACCCGACGAAUAAGCUCCGGCUAACUCCGUGCCAGCAGCCGCGGUAACACGGGGGGAGCAAGCGUUGUUCGGAAUCACUGGGCGUAAAGGGCGUGUAGGCGGAUGGGUAAGUGGAACGUGAAAUCCCUCGGCUCACCCGAGGAUCUGCGUCCCAAACUGCCUGUCUUGAGUACGGGAGAGGAUGAGGGAAUUCCUGGUGUAGCGGUGAAAUGCGUAGAUAUCAGGAGGAACACCGGUGGCGAAGGCGCUCAUCUGGCCCGAUACUGACGCUGAGGCGCGAAAGCUAGGGGAGCAAACGGGAUUAGAUACCCCGGUAGUCCUAGCCGUAAACGGUGAUCACUAGGUGUUGGAGGCAUCGACCCCUCCAGUGCCGCAGCUAACGCAUUAAGUGAUCCGCCUGGGGAGUACGGCCGCAAGGUUGAAACUCAAAGGAAUUGACGG